rnacentral:tRNA from 1 species
AAAAUCCGUCGAUUUUAAAAAUCGUGAGGGUUCAAGUCCCUCUAUCCCCAAAAAGCCCAUUUGACUGUCUAACUCUUUUU